GACCUACCGAACUUAGUUAUAGCUGGUUAUCCGAGAAAUGAAUAGAAGUUCAGCCUCCCGGCUUCUCCAUUCACCAGAUUCCAAACGAUGAAAAGAAACCAGGAGAGUUAGUCAAAGGGGGGACAGCCCCUUUGAGCAAGAUACAACUUUACCAGGAGGUUAAAGAUUAUACUCACCAAGGAAAAAUGCCCAAGUAGGCCUAAAAGCAGCCACCACAGCAGAAAGCGUUAAAGCUCAGACAUACUCACACCUCUUAUCCUAAUAAUUAAAUCUCAACCCCCUAAACCUAACGGAUUACUCCAUGCAACCAUGGAAGAAAUUAUGCUAAUAUGAGUAAUAAGAGAGCACUCAAUCUCUCUCCAAGCAUCUGUGUAAAUCGGAACGGACAACCCACCGAAUAUUAACGGCCCCAACCACAGAGGGUAAUGAACAUUAAUAUUACUCACUAGAAAAUCACCCACCAACCAACCGUUAACCUCACACUAGUGUGCCAAUAAGGAAAGACUAAAAGAAAAAGAAGGAACUCGGCAAACACCCACAAGCCUCGCCUGUUUACCAAAAACAUCGCCUCUUGCAAACUUAACGUAUAAGAGGUCCCGCCUGCCCCGUGACACCCAAGUUCAACGGCCGCGGUAUCCUGACCGUGCAAAGGUAGCGCAAUCACUUGUCUUUUAAAUGAAGACCUGUAUGAAUGGCAUAACGAGGGCUUAACUGUCUCCUUUUUCAAGUCAAUGAAAUUGAUCUCCCCGUGCAGAAGCGGGGAUAACUACAUAAGACGAGAAGACCCUGUGGAGCUUUAGACACUAGAGUAGCUCUCAUACACACAUAUACACAUAAACUAAAAGAGCCCUGCUCUAACGUCUUCGGUUGGGGCGACCACGGGGAAACAAAUAACCCCCAUGCGGAAUAAGAGUACACCCUCUUAAAAACAAGAGCCACCGCUCUAAAAAACAGAAUCUCUGACCAUAAGAUCCGGCAAUGCCGAUCCACGGACCAAGUUACCCCA
rnacentral:rRNA from 1 species